rnacentral:rRNA from 1 species
AGAGUUUGAUCAUGGCUCAGAAUCAACGCUGGCGGCGUGCCUAACACAUGCAAGUCGCACGAGAAAGGGGCUUCGGUCCUGAGUAAAGUGGCGCACGGGUGAGUAACACGUGAAUGAUCUACCUCCGAGUGGGGAAUAACUGAGAGAAAUCUUAGCUAAUACCGCAUAACACUUACGAGUCAAAGCAGCAAUGCGCUUGGAGAGGAGUUCGCGGCCGAUUAGUUAGUUGGCGGGGUAAUGGCCCACCAAGACGAUGAUCGGUAUCCGGCCUGAGAGGGCGCACGGACACACUGGAACUGAAACACGGUCCAGACUCCUACGGGAGGCAGCAGUGGGGAAUUUUGCGCAAUGGGGGAAACCCUGACGCAGCAACGCCGCGUGGAGGAUGAAGUAUCUUGGUACGUAAACUCCUUUCGAUGGGGAAGAUAAUGACGGUACCCAUAGAAGAAGCCCCGGCUAACUUCGUGCCAGCAGCCGCGGUAAUACGAGGGGGGCAAGCGUUGUUCGGAAUUAUUGGGCGUAAAGGGUGCGUAGGCGGUUUGAUAAGUCUGAUGUGAAAUCUCUGGGCUCAACCCAGAGUCUGCAUUAGAAACUGUCGGGCUUGAGUAUGGGAGAGGUGCGUGGAAUUUCCGGUGUAGCGGUGAAAUGCGUAGAUAUCGGAAGGAACACCUGUGGCGAAAGCGGCUCACUGGACCAUAACUGACGCUGAGGCACGAAAGCUAGGGGAGCAAACAGGAUUAGAUACCCUAGUAGUCC